UGGCCCCGCUGAACGCUGCGGGAUGACCGGCCGUUAGAGCUCCCCUUUCAGGCCAUUCCGCAAUUUUACAGACACACAGGAGUGAAGCUGAACGUCAGUAAAAGCAUGUUCUCAUAAACAAACAGCCAAACUUCAGUCCGCUGCAGUAAACGCUAAACUCUGACAGUCCUGUCCUACAAACACAAUAUAAUAACACUCUCUACACGGAGCUACACGCAGACUAUAACCUACCACCCUCAGCUGCAGCAAACUAACAACCCCCAGCCUCCAGAGAGAGAGCGGCUUAACUUCAGCCAAACUGCCAAUGACCGCCACAAGUUUUUGGACAUCAUCAAGAUAUGUACUUUCCAGAUGAUGCAGUGGAAGCCCUCUCACGGAAAAGAUAAACUGGACUGUUUACACUGGUAAGAACUACAUUCUCACAGAACAGGGUCUCUAUCAUCACACUCGUGUCACUGGUUGACUGAAGGUGGCAGAGCAUUAGGGGAUGUGCAUUUCCAGCCUCGGAACCUUUCGGUUAUUAAGGACAACAGAUGGCAGCGAACAUUCACAAAUGACCACAUAACCAGUGAUUAGAACAAAUGUGCUUUUAGUCCACAAAUGAGCCAUUUGUACGGUCCUGCUUUUAGGAUCAAGUGUCCCGGCGUAUGUGUUAUUUUCACUGUGCUCAGUGGAGCCACAGGUCCUGGGAGGCAGGUCCUGGCAGAGGUGAAGGGCUCUGUGCUCUGUACCACAUUAGAGUCAAACCUCUGUACCAAACAUACUGCUCAAACAGGGGCUCUCUUAUGACACAGUGUGGGAAGGCUGGGAGAGAUGGGACAAAGACCAUAGAUCAUAUUAUGCUAGUUAAUGAGCUACAUGAGUAUUCAUUUAUGGGAAAAAAGAUAAAAAGCCAUAUUCUAUUAUAAUAAUUAUUAUUGUUCAUUAUUGUUUUUAUUCCCACUCUUUAGUCAUGAACUGCAAACCUCUCUCCAAAAUUCUCUCAGGUUGUAAUAAAAACAAACUUUUACAUACACACAAACACAGUAGAGAAAGUAAAAAUGCAGUGGGUGAGAAAAAAAGAGAGAGAGAGAGAGAGAGAGAAAGAGAAGAGGGGGAAAACAAAAAGAGCUGAAAUUGCCUCAUUAAUGCAUCCGGCGUCCUGCCCUGAGCCUUUCCCUUUUGCCUAGGCCCAGCGGGAGCCCUUUUUAUCAGGCCAAAGGACACCUUUUGCUGGGCCAUUAGCAAAACAGGGACAGAUGCACCCUGGCAAAUACCCCCCCGUCAUGCACCGGCAGAGAGGUGGAUGGAGGACAGAGCGGGCGUUCCUCGGGCAGGCGGAGGGGCGCGGUUGCUGUGACCUUGGCCCGGUGGACGCAGGGCGAUUCGGAGGACGAGGCGUCAGCGCUGACGGGAUGAACUCCGUCAAAUCCUCCCUCCCCCACCUCCCUGAGGUUAAUGGCUUUUAGCUGUUCCUGUCCGAAAAAUGGUAAUGACCGUCGCCCCCAGGCUGUCGGGGACGCAAUUACCCCCAUCAGGUUUCCCCCCCUGCUAAAUAUGAUUUGACCAAUCAGCAUAAUUUGGAGAGCGUUCCGCUUGGCGGCGUCCGUAACUGGUUUUGCGCCAAUCUCGCCCUGCACCGCUAAGUGCCAGGCUAAUAGCGUAUGGAGCAUUUGACAAAUUGACAUUUUCAUCUAAGGGAGAGCUUUGAAUGCACCUGAAGCACAAAAAAAGGAGGAGGAAGGUCAGGCAAACUCGGACCAAGGGCUGUUCAAGAAGGUGGAGAUGAACUCGCCUCCCCACCUUCCUGCCAUUCGUCUCAAAUACGGUUUUAAUAAGGCUUAAUAUAUUAAUGUAUUAUUCACAUGUUAAUGGAAGUGAUGUGAGUAAAGGUCUAAGGGCUGUUUAAACCAGCAGAGUCAAAACGGCAGAUGAUGGGUUGGUGACAUAAAACGCUGGUUGAUGCUGGUUCAGAGCUCUAGGAGGAGGAGGACGGUGGCAUGCAAGCCAAAUGAAACUACAGAGCAAAGCCUAUUAAUUAAACCCCUGCCGCUUGUGUGCCUCACUCUUUUGCGCUUCAUAAAACAGGAUCAAAUCGCCCUUCAGAAAUGAGCAGCAAGCAAAUCACAAUAGAAAAGCACAGAGUUGAAACGGGUGGAUGGUUUCUGGAGUUGGAACUGUGCUGAAAACAUCACCUGUCGUACAUUUUCAAAACUAUUCUUUAAGUAAACAGUCAGCCUGACUUCUCCACUCGUUGACCUUCACAAGAUUGGCGUCUCAGGACUUUUAUGGAAAGUAAAAGACAUAUAAACAUAAGAUAUAAACAUAAAACAAAACUUAUUUUGUUUGCCUUAAAUUUUCUGAAAUUUAAGAUUGAUUAAUGCUGAGCAUUAAUCAAUUCCAAAUACAAACAUAUUUGUUUAUUGUUUCUCGAUAAUUUAUCUUUAGUGACAGCAGUCUCAGUCAGCUGUCAGUAUAACAAAUACUGGUAUGGAUCUCAGUGACACGUGUCAUUGAUUAGCAGACAUUGAGAAACCUGCACACCCAAUAGCAGCGGCCCUUCCCUCUGCCCUGUGUACCCCAGUUCCGGUAACUCGAGAGCCAUCAAUUAAGCAGAUGAUUAGCUCCUGGGGCCAUAGGGGGACACCUGGGCAGUGGCGGCAGCAGACGUGGGGGAUCUGUGUGUGUGUGUGUGUGUGUGUGUGUGUGUGUGUGUGUGUGUGGAAUAAGGGGAGGGGGAGCGGGGAGGCUGAGCAGGUUACUCACAGAUGUA